AUACGAAGGGAGCGAGCGUUGUCCGGAAUUACUGGGCGUAAAGGGCGCGUAGGCGGCGCUUCAAGUCGUCUGUCAAAUGGGAGGGCUUAACCCUUUUUCGCAGACGAAACUGGAGAGCUUGAGAGGCAGAGAGGCAAACAGAAUUCCUGGUGUAGCGGUGAAAUGCGUAGAUAUCAGGAAGAAUACCAGUGGCGAAGGCGGUUUGCUGGCUGCAUACUGACGCUGAAGCGCGAAAGCCAGGGGAGCAAACGGGAUUAGAUACCCCGGUAGUCCUGGCAGUAAACGAUGUAUGCUGGGUGUGAGACUAGCGAUAGUUUCGUGCCGAAGUUAACGCGAUAAGCAUACCGCCUGGGGAGUACGUUCGCAAGAUUGAAACUCAAAUGAAUUGGCGGGG
rnacentral:rRNA from 1 species